rnacentral:rRNA from 1 species
AGAGUUUGAUCCUGGCUCAGGAUAAACGCUGGCGGCGUGCCUAACACAUGCAAGUCGAACGUCCUCGCCUCGCAAGAGGGGAGGGAGUGGCGGACGGGUGAGUAACACAUGGGAACCUGGCUUUCAGUGAGGAAUACCGGCGAGAAAUCGCCGACAAGACCGCAUGGGCUUGGGUCGCGAGACCCAAGCAAAGUCCGCUCUUCGGAGAGGACGCUGGAAGAUGGGCCUGUGGCCGAUUAGCUAGUUGGUGGGGUAAGAGCCUACCAAGGCGACGAUCGGUAGCUGGUCUGAGAGGACGAGCAGCCACACUGGGAUUGAGAACGGCCCAGACUCCUACGGGGGGCAGCAGUGAGGAAUUUUCCGCAAUGGGCGCAAGCCUGACGGAGCAACGCCGCGUGCAGGACGACGGCCUUCGGGUUGUAAACUGCUUUUGGGAGGGACGAGCAAGGACGGUACCUUCCGAAUCAGCCCCGGCUAACUACGUGCCAGCAGCCGCGGUAAUACGUAGGGGGCGAGCGUUGUCCGGAGUUACUGGGCGUAAAGGGCACGCAGGCGGUGACCCAAGUUUUGUAUGACAGCUCGCAGCUUAACGACGAGAGGGUGCGAAAAACUGGGCCACUUGAGGGACACAGAGGGACACAGAAUUCCGGGUGGAGUGGUGAAAUGCGUAGAUAUCCGGAGGAAUACCAAAGGCGAAGGCAGUGUUCUGGGUGUUACCUGACGCUGAGGUGCGAAAGCCAGGGGAGCGAACGGGAUUAGAUACCCCGGUAGUCCUGGCCGUAAACGAUGACCACUAGGUGUGGGAGGUAUCGACCCCUUCCGUGCCGUCGUUCACGCAGUAAGUGGUCCGCCUGGGGAGUACGGUCGCAAGAUUAAAACUCAAAGGAAUUGACGG